rnacentral:lncRNA from 1 species
UUGAUUUCAAGGAGAACUUCCAACCUGUGCGCCGUCUUCAACAACAACAUCUGAGGUGAGAAAUCCGUUGCCUUAAAUUCAUUAUUGUUAUGAGAAAAUCUCUUAACGUCAUCUGAUGCAUUAGUGCAUAUAGUUAAGGACAUUGGAAGCUAGGCGAAAAUGCACUAUUGCAUAUAAUUAGUGAAAACAAUUUCCUGGGCGAAUGAAUUUAGGAAGUAGCAUAUUGCUUAUCAUUAUUCUUGUAAUGAUAACCUGGGGACUAGAAAUAAGAAAGCAAUAAGUUAAUGGUUGAAGUGAUUUCCUACCUAAUUAGAGUACUACAGUUUCGCACAGUUAUCAACAAGUACGACUAAAUUUGGUUAGAAUUCGUAGAUUAGGAAUUCGUAAUUUGAGAGUUGUAUAAUGAUCUAUUUUAGUUGAAAUUUGACAUACUAGUUUAUACUCAUAUGGGGAUUAUAUAUUUGGACAGAUUGUACUCAUUUGGAAGCUUUACAGAAGGGUAAGACCCUUACAAAUUAGCUUGCAUUUGGAUUCUUUGAUUGAAGUAGGUUACGGUUUAAUUGGAGUUUAGACUCAACUUAAUUGUGUAUAUACUCCUAAGUUGGAUACUUGUGGAUUGGUAUUCGGACAUGCUUGAAAUUAUUGAUGUUUGGAUUGUUGAUUCGUGUAUAAAUGUUUAUUGAAAAUUUACUUGAUGGAAUUGUCUUAUUAAUUUAAGUGAACUUGAAAACUUGGUACAUUGUGUCGUAUGCUGUGAGUUUGUAUAAAUUGAUAUUGAUAAUACUUGUUAAUAUUUAUGUUGGAUCGGGUACCACGCCGGUACGUUUAUAUUUUUGUUGGAUCGGGUACCACGCCGGUACGUUUAUAUUUUUGUUGGAUCGGGUACCACGCCGGUACGGUACAUGAACAUAAAUUGUUCCCUGCAGGUCAUGACUAUUUGGGCAAAAAUAAGUCUCAUAGCAUGUGUGUACAUAUUUAUGUUUAUUUUGUGGAUGUUUAUAGUACGGUUGAUAUUCUUGAUGGUUAUGUGGCUUGUCUGUGAGCACUGUUUGACCUGUUGUUGCUAUAUUGUUGAUUCAUUGAAUAUUUGUUGUGUGGCGAUGUCUGUCUACUUGUUAUUUGAUUUAUGUUGUGUACAUUCUAUUAAAUUGAGUUGACUUAUGAUACCUACCAGUACAUAGUGAUUUGUACUGAUACUACUCUGUACUCUUCUUUUGUUGAGUGCAGAAAGUGUUUUAGGCUCAGACAUGACCUAACCUCUAGAGUUUGAUAGCAGAUCUUGAUCCAAGGGUGAGCACUCCGUCUCCAGGCUGCCAUGGGUCAUCUUAUUUGUUCUUGUCCAUCUUUCGGGCAAUGAAACAUUCUUUAUUUACUUUAUUUUUGGAUAUCACUUUAGAUAUUAUCUUUGUUAGUAGUUCUUGUACGAUGAGUUUCGGAUCUUGAAAAUUUUAGUAAGUAGUUUGUUUGAAUUUCCGCAUGAAUAAUAAUUAGUCCUAGAUAUUUGUUAUUAUGUUGAAUUUUAUAAUAAUAUCAUCUAAUAUUGAC